AUUGAACGCUGGCGGCAGGCUUAACACAUGCAAGUCGAGCGGUAACAGAGAGAAGCUUGCUUCUCUGCUGACGAGCGGCGGACGGGUGAGUAAUGCCUAGGAAUCUGCCUAGUAGUGGGGGAUAACUUGCCGAAAGGUAAGCUAAUACCGCAUACGUCCUACGGGAGAAAGGAGGGGACCUUCGGGCCUUUCGCUAUUAGAUGAGCCUAGGUCGGAUUAGUUAGUUGGUGAGGUAAUGGCUCACCAAGACCGCGAUCCGUAACUGGUCUGAGAGGAUGAUCAGUCACACUGGAACUGAGACACGGUCCAGACUCCUACGGGAGGCAGCAGUGGGGAAUAUUGGACAAUGGGGGGAACCCUGAUCCAGCCAUGCCGCGUGUGUGAAGAAGGUCUUAGGAUUGUAAAGCACUUUAAGUUGGGAGGAAGAGCAGUUAACUAAUAUUUGACUGUUUUGACGUUACCGACAGAAUAAGCACCGGCUAACUUCGUGCCAGCAGCCGCCGCCG
rnacentral:rRNA from 1 species